rnacentral:rRNA from 1 species
UACGUAGGGUGCAAGCGUUAAUCGGAAUUACUGGGCGUAAAGCGUGCGCAGGCGGCUUUGCAAGACAGAUGUGAAAUCCCCGGGCUUAACCUGGGAACUGCAUUUGUGACUGCAUGGCUAGAGUGCGGCAGAGGGGGAUGGAAUUCCGCGUGUAGCAGUGAAAUGCGUAGAUAUGCGGAGGAACACCAGUGGCGAAGGCGACUCACUGGCCCGAUACUGACGCUGAGGCGCGAAAGCGUGGGGAGCAAACAGG